AUUGAACGCUGGCGGCAUGCUUUACACAUGCAAGUCGAACGGUAACAGGCCGCAAGGUGCUGACGAGUGGCGAACGGGUGAGUAAUGCAUCGGAACGUGCCCAGUCGUGGGGGAUAACGCAGCGAAAGCUGUGCUAAUACCGCAUACGAUCUAUGGAUGAAAGCGGGGGACCGUAAGGCCUCGCGCGAUUGGAGCGGCCGAUGUCAGAUUAGGUAGUUGGUGGGGUAAAGGCUCACCAAGCCAACGAUCUGUAGCUGGUCUGAGAGGACGACCAGCCACACUGGGACUGAGACACGGCCCAGACUCCUACGGGAGGCAGCAGUGGGGAAUUUUGGGCAAUGGGCGCAAGCCUGAUCCAGCAAUGCCGCGUGCAGGAAGAAGGCCUUCGGGUUGUAAACUGCUUUUGUACGGAACGAAAAGGUUUGGGUUAAUACCCUGGGCCGAUGACGGUACCGUAAGAAUAAGCACCGGCUAACUACGUGCCAGCCGCCGCAGUAAUAC
rnacentral:rRNA from 1 species